AUGGACUCUUCUCCAGGCUUUGUGAUUGCAAUACUCCUCAUAUUCGGGGCUGCUGGCGAGACCCAAGUGGAGCAGAGUCCCAAGUCCCUGGUUGUCCUGCAAGGAGAGAAUUGCAUCCUUCAUUGCAAUUACACUGUGAGCCCUGCUAACAACUUAAGGUGGUACAGACAAGACACAGGCAGAAGUCUUGUGUCCCUGGCACUCAUGACAAACAGUGAGAACAAAAAGUCAAAUGGAAGAUACUCAGCAAUUCUGGAUGCAGAUGCUAAGAACAGCACCCUGCAUAUCACAGCCGCCCAGCUGGAGGAUACAGCCUUCUACAUCUGUGUGGUCGGUGCACCGUGCUCCACAGGUACUUGCAGCCAGUACCAAAACCUGCUCCUGGAGGCUUCAAGGAGGUCUAGGUGA